rnacentral:rRNA from 1 species
UGGUGGAGUGAUUUGUCUGGUUAAUUCCGUUAACGAACGAGACCCCCGCCUGCUAAAUAGUUGCAUUUACCAUUUGGUAGAGAGUGACUUCUUAGAGGGGCUUUUGGCGAUUAGCCAAAGGAAGUUGGGGGCAAUAACA